UAUCAACAUUUUAUAAUAACCCUUCAACAGUACUGAGUUAUUCUAUAUCCCUAUAGAAUUUAUUAUGUUAAAACUAGUAACAAGAAGAAGACCUUCUCUUAAAUGCACCUAUAAUUCAGAAAGGACACACCACUGAUAAUUAACGCCUAUGACCUCAAAGUAAAAACUCAGCAAGAAAAACUUACUGGUUACAACGUUAACCUAACACAAGAGCAUUCCAAGAAAGAUUAAAAGAAAAAGAAGGAACUCGGCAAACAUUAACCCCGCCUGUUUACCAAAAACAUCGCCUCUUGAAAAACAUAAGAGGUCCAGCCUGCCCAGUGACAUCUGUUCAACGGCCGCGGUAUCCUAACCGUGCGAAGGUAGCGUAAUCACUUGUCCUUUAAAUGGGGACUAGUAUGAAUGGCAUCACGAGGGUUAUACUGUCUCCUUUUUCCAAUCAGUUAAACUAAUCUCCCCGUGAAGAAGCGGGGAUACACCUAUAAGACGAGAAGACCCUAUGGAGCUUCAAACAAACAGCAUUUGCUAUAACAUACAUCAAUCUCAGGAAACUAAUCUUUAUUUUAGCAUUCUACCUGUAAGUUUUAGGUUGGGGUGACCGCGGAGUAAAAAUUAACCUCCACAUUGAAGGGGAUCUUCCCUAAGCAAAAAGUCACAACUUUAAGCAUCAAUAAAUUGACAUCAAUUGACCCAAUAUUUUGAUCAACGAAACAAGUUACCCUAGGGAUAACAGCGCAAUCCACUUCAAGAGCCCUUAUCGACAAGUGGGUUUACGACCUCGAUGUUGGAUCAGGGUAUCCCAGUGGUGCAGCCGCUACUAAA
rnacentral:rRNA from 1 species